rnacentral:rRNA from 1 species
UUGAACUGAAGAGUUUGAUCCUGGCUCAGAUUGAACGCUGGCGGCAUGCCUUACACAUGCAAGUCGGACGGCAGCGCGGGC